CUAAUUAUGUGGACUUAACAAUUUUAAGUAAAUGGGUUGGGCUUGGAUUGAGCCCUAGUCAACUUGUCCUACCCGUAUAAGUUAUCAAUGGGUUGAGUUGGAUGAUCCAACUGGACUUAGCCCAGCUGAUCUGAUGGUGGCUUAUAUCUCUGUAGUUUCUUCAUUUUACAUGUUCUUGCCUUGAAUUGAAAUCUCAUGUCACUAAAAUUUGCUUGAUUCUAUGGAAAUCUUUAGGAACCCUGAAGAGAUCCCAUGGGGUAAGACUAGUGCUGAGUAUGUUGCAGAAAGGAGGUCCGUAGCAAAUAACGAUGAGGGAUUGCUAUGUGUGUAGAAGACCAUGUUAUGAAUGAGCUGUUCUAAAUCCUGUUUUCCUAGACAGUUCUUCAAACUUUUUAUUCCACUUGCUAAUGUUCCUUGAUACAAAUCAUGCAGUCCCUGCAUUUCUAUAUGGUGCAGCAGAUGAGCAAGCAAGGACCCUUGAUUCAACCAGUAGAAUUGCUAGACAGAUUUAGAUAAGGCUACACUAUUGAAGUUGAGAUCCAUGAUGGCCUGUACAACGUCAUCAAGAGCUUGAACUACAUUGCAUUGAUUGACGCCAUCCACAAUGGCGAAGGCAAAUGUUGAACAGCCAAGGUUAUGUGAAGGUGGGGAGCACUUAGAAUACUUUUCAGAACUCAGCUGUCAUUUAGUUUUCUACUUGAAUAUCCAGGGCUAAGGCACAACACGUUGCACGACUUGAGGAAGAAGAGGCUCUCAUUUCAGCUCAUAAAAAAAAUCCAGAUAGAAGAGACUUGCACCAAUUGCUUUUGUACUUAAGCUGGUUUUACAAUAUUGAGUGCUGGAUAUUAGCAACACCAAUCUAUAUAUUCUUUUUGAAAUAUUGACUUGUAGAAUAAAACAAUGCGAAU